rnacentral:siRNA from 1 species
CUUAGGUUGCUUCCUUAUCCUA